UACAGAGGUCUCGAGCGUUGUUCGGAUUCAUUGGGCGUAAAGGGCGCGUAGGCGGCGGGGUAAGUCUGGUGUGAAAUCUCGGAGCUCAACUCCGAAACUGCACUGGAUACUGCUCUGCUAGAGGGCUGGAGAGGAGAUCGGAAUUCACGGUGUAGCAGUGAAAUGCGUAGAUAUCGUAAGGAAGACCAGUGGCGAAGGCGGGUCUCUGGACAGUUCCUGACGCUGAGGCACGAAGGCCAGGGGGAGCAAAACGGGG
rnacentral:rRNA from 1 species